GGUUGUGGCUCAGAGGUAGAGUGCUUGCCUAGCACAUGCAAGGCCCUGGGUUUGAUCCUCAGCACCA
rnacentral:tRNA from 1 species